GAUGAACGCUAGCUACAGGCUUAACACAUGCAAGUCGAACGCGAGCACUUGUGCUCGAGUGGCGAACGGGUGAGUAAUACAUAAGUAACCUGCCCUAGACAGGGGGAUAACUAUUGGAAACGAUAGCUAAGACCGCAUAGGUACGGACACUGCAUGGUGACCGUAUUAAAAGUGCCUCAAAGCACUGGUAGAGGAUGGACUUAUGGCGCAUUAGCUGGUUGGCGGGGUAACGGCCCACCAAGGCGACGAUGCGUAGCCGACCUGAGAGGGUGACCGGCCACACUGGGACUGAGACACGGCCCAG
rnacentral:rRNA from 1 species